AACCUCUCUAAUUCCUUAAGAGAUCCUAUCUGCCUGAUGAAAAUAGAUAUUGGCUUCUGUGUAGCCUGAUUAGAAGAAUAGGAGAGGAUUAGCAAAGAUGCGAGAGAGAAACCGAGCCCUGCUCAUUUACAUGGCACUGCCCGCUGACAGGUGAUGCUAACAGAAGGGAGGAGCUCAGAGGCAAGCUGCCCUGAAUUAAAGCAGGCAUUUAUUUACUCAAGUUAUAGAGAGAUUAAGAGCCAUUUAUUUUGCCGUAUCCAAUUUUUAAAAUCUAUUAAGCACUUUGAUGCUUACUAAUUUUCUUUUCUGUAGCAAACAGCCACGCUGUUUGGAGAGAUGUUUAUUUUCCUUCACAACAACCUACAACUGAUGGUAACUGAAGCCUCCCAGUGUUGCUGUUUAAAGUGUGCUACAAGCUGCAGGAGCUCAGCUAAUAAAGGCCACCGAAUGAAAGAAAGUUAAAUAUGAAUGCAAGAGGGGGUCUAAUGAAGAGCUGGCUUGUACAUCUCAAAGAUGACCUUCUGGAGAUGAACGAGUGGAAAAUCCUUUUUAAAGCAAAUGACCCCUUACUGGAUUUGGACAUGGAGGUUGUCCUCAGGUCACUGUCUACUGCAAUCAUCCAAGGGCUGGAGUUGUGAUCUCAGCAUAAAGCAUGGCAGUCCAGGUCUCCUCAACCAACGGAGGCUGUGGGCAAAUGGCACAGUGACUGGCUUGGCCAUGCUUGCUUUGUUGGAAGAUGAGGAAGGUAAGGUCCAAAAAGGAGACACGACACAUGUGAAUUCAUGUCUACUUCACAAUCCUCCCUUAACAUCUCAACACCCAUGAAGUAGUUGACUGAACUAGAUGUCCAGAACAGAUGACUGCUUCCCGUUCCCAUUUUUCGUCACCACUGAGCCAUUGCCAAAUUCCCUCCUUCUUUCAGUAAUACCAGUUUCUUCUUUAUAAGACCACACUGAACAUUUAUUUUUUGCUAAAUCUGAAAGAGCAAACCCAGGCACCCUUGUGAAACAUGCAAAAGCUGUUUGGUAACCAAGUGUUGUGGUAACCAAGAUUUCAG
rnacentral:lncRNA from 12 species